rnacentral:lncRNA from 1 species
AGCAAUAAAUGAGACUUGCUUCAACCAUAUGCUGUCUCCCUCCUCCUUCCCGCCCAUUUCUCUUUCAGGCUGGUCCCCCUAGGUUCCCCAUGAAUAACUGAGUCCCAGUGGACGGGACAAGUGGCACCCAAUGUGGGGGGCAAGAGGUGAGGACCCUUGCCAGGCGGACCCCGAAGAAUCGUCUGGACCCCGAAGAAAUCACAAGGAUCCCCUUCUGUCCUUGAGCUGGCUCCAGCAAAUCUUUGAGCCUGACCCUGAAGUCUUGCGUGAAAAGUGAGAAAAUGGGGAAAAGUCCUUAAAGCACUAAAGACCAUUAAGCGCCAUGAUGAAUUUAGGUUUUUCAAGAAGCUAUCACAAGAGUGAUUCAGAGAGUAGCUACCUUCAUUUCCCUCUGUAUCAUAUCUUAAGUAAAUGGAUAUUUAAUUAUAAUAGACUGGACUGGAGGAACCAAGGGAAUCCCAGUGAUAGGAAACCAUGGCAGACUGCCACAACCACCAUAAUAACAUUAGUGUUUCUGAAGAAUUUACAGUACAAGCCAAAAGGAAGUCUACCUCCAGAGAAAGCAAGUAGGUAAGCCCUGAAGCCCAGUAAAAGCCAGCAGAAAAACCUGAAGACCCAGCGAAAAAAGCCUGGGAUGGUGCAGGAUGAAAGCCCAGCUCUUAUUAAAAAAACACCAACUCAUGAAAAACAAAUCAGAAAAAAAGAGCAGAGCAUGACUAUAGAUAAAAUUAAAAGAUUUAAAAGAUUAAAACCACUAUAAAACACAGGAAUAUAUGGAGCUUACCUUAAAAUGAUAAAUAAUAUUUAUCUAAAACCCUCUACAGUGGUGAUAAGCUAGAAGCCUUCCCAAUUCAAUCAGGGCAAGUAUCCCUAUUAUCACCUCUAUUAUUUAAU